GCACCCAGUGAACCGGAGCAGUCUAAAUCGGUUGUAGACAAUUCGCUAGAAUGGCAAACUAUUCAAUUCAUCAGGAAGAAGAAGCCGACGACACCCCCGCCUCACACAAACACCAAAGACCCGCCCAUCGUCAAGGUUAAAACCUUUGAUGCGGCGAUAGGUAAGUUUCUAAACCCUACUCAUCCCAUGGCGGCGCCAAAGAAGUCUCUCCCCUAUCCUCUGAGACUUCCCAGAUUGGGCCAGCCAGUGC
rnacentral:lncRNA from 1 species